UGGGGAAUAUUGGACAAUGGGCGAAAGCCUGAUCCAGCCAUGCCGCGUGUGUGAAGAAGGUCUUCGGAUUGUAAAGCACUUUAAGUUGGGAGGAAGGGCAGUAAGCGAAUACCUUGCUGUUUUGACGUUACCGACAGAAUAAGCACCGUCUAACUCUGUGCCAGCAGCCGCUGUAAUACAGAGGGUGCAAGCGUUAAUCGUAAUUACUGGGCGUAAAGCGCGCGUAGGUGGUUCGUUAAGUUGAAUGUGAAAGCCCCGGGCUCAACCUGGGAACUGCAUCCAAAACUGGCGAGCUAGAGUAGGGCAGAGGGUGGUGGAAUUUCCUGUGUAGCGGUGAAAUGCGUAGAUAUAGGAAGGAACACAAGUGGCGAAGGCGACCACCUGGGCUCAUACUGACACUGAGGUGCGAAAGCGUGGGGAGCAAACAGG
rnacentral:rRNA from 1 species